AGACGUAUGGGGCGCAAGCGUUAUCCGGAUUCACUGGGCGUAAAGGGUCCGCAGGCGGUCGGCUAAGUCCUUUGUCAAAGCCCCCGGCUCAACCGGGGAGAGGCAGAGGAUACUGGUCGACUAGACCCACUUCGGAGCCAGUGGAACUUCCCAUGUAGGGGUGAAAUCCGUGGAUAUGGGAAGGAACACCGAGGGCGAAGGCGGCUGGCUAGGAGUGUGGUGACGCUCAGGGACGAAAGCUAGGGGAGCAAACCGGAUUAGAUACCCUAGUAGUCC
rnacentral:rRNA from 1 species